rnacentral:lncRNA from 1 species
CCCUGGGGAGCAGAGAGCAGCCCCAUGGACCAGAGAACAGAUUCUGGGACCUUCAUGACUGGUAAAUCCCCCAGGGCAGUGUCAGGUGCCCUCUCAUUGCUGUGUUAACUGAGCAGUGCUUCUGGAUUUCCAGUGUUGAAGGGAAAUCAUCUUCUGCAGGCUGCAGUCACAGGGACUUUAAGCUAGUGGAUGAAUCUUCAGCACCCACAUUUACUGCACAUUUACUGCACAUUUACUGUAAGGCCAGCUGUGCCCAGGGUCUUUGCUGUCACCUCUUGGUCCCUUUCAGCAGUCUCUGGGAGCUCCUGAGCAUCCUGUGCAUGGGGAUGCAAAGGUGGCUUUAGGACACUGCCAUCCCCUCCCUGCUUUUUGCCGCUGUUCUCUCCAAACACCAACAGAGGAGCAAAUUUAGGGUUUUUUAGCUGUUUUUUAGCUGGUGAUGCUCAGUGGCACAGGAGGUCGGGCCCAGGCUCGGAGCCUUUCUGCCUUGUUGCUACAGAGAUGGGCAGAGGCGUGAAUGCAGCGAUUGAGGCUGAGCCAGCGCUGGAGCCCAGUGGUUUCAUGUCAAUAAAAGAGCUCCCUGUCCCCAGCAGUGUCGCCUGGAGGGGACAGAGAAGUUACGGUGACUGAGUGAUCCUAACGCCCAGAGCAUUUGGGCAUCGCAGAUCCCGAAAUCAAAUUAUCUCUCUUAUCUCAAGGGCAAGGCUGUGCGUGGGGAGGACUUAAGGAAGUGGCUUGUCAUGGCACAUUACAGCUCCACUGUUUGCUGUGAUUCUCCCCCUCCAGGAUCAUUAUUUUUCCAUGAAGACCAAGUAGCUUGAGGCUUGAGAGAAGGCUCCAAGAUGAAACAUGGGCAGACCCAACCCCCAGGCUUUGGAAAGGGUUAAAGAAGAGUCCUGGGCUGGAGUGGGGAGUCUCUGGAGGGUCCUGGGGUGCUUUUGGAUCCCCAGCACAUGAUCCAGGUGAAGCCCAGUGUUCAGGAGGCACCUGGAAGAAGCCAAAGUGUCUGAGCUGCCUUCUGCCUGUCCAGGACCAGCCAAACCCUUUGGGGGAGUUUUCCAGCCCAGGAUCAGCUCUGGAAGGAGGAAUGGGAGGACACCAUCUCCUCCCUGGUCCCUUCUCCCCUCAAUGUCACUCAC